rnacentral:rRNA from 1 species
UACAGAGGUCCCAAGCGUUGUUCGGAUUCAUUGGGCGUAAAGCGUGCGCAGGCGGCUUCUCAAGUCAGGGGUGAAAGCCCAGAGCUCAACUCUGGAAUUGCCUUUGAGACUGAGUGGCUUGAGUACGAGAGAGGUGAGUGGAAUUCCCAGUGUAGAGGUGAAAUUCGUAGAUAUUGGGAAGAACACCGGUGGCGAAGGCGGCUCACUGGCUCGUAACUGACGCUCAUGCACGACAGCGUGGGGAUCAAACAGG